rnacentral:rRNA from 1 species
GACGAACGCUGGCGGCGUGCCUAAUACAUGCAAGUAGAACGCUGAAGGAGGAGCUUGCUCUUCUGGAUGAGUUGCGAACGGGUGAGUAACGCGUAGGUAACCUGCCUGGUAGUGGGGGAUAACUAUUGGAAACGAUAGCUAAUACCGCAUAAUAACAGUUGUUGCAUGACAACUGUUUGAAAGGUGCAAUUGCAUCACUACCAGAUGGACCUGCGUUGUAUUAGCUAGUUGGUGGGGUAACGGCUCACCAAGGCGACGAUACAUAGCCGACCUGAGAGGGUGAUCGGCCACACUGGGACUGAGACACGGCCCAGACUCCUACGGGAGGCAGCAGUAGGGAAUCUUCGGCAAUGGACGAAAGUCUGACCGAGCAACGCCGCGUGAGUGAAGAAGGUUUUCGGAUCGUAAAGCUCUGUUGUAAGAGAAGAACGAGUGUGAGAGUGGAAAGUUCAC